rnacentral:rRNA from 1 species
ACAGAGGGUGCGAGCGUUAAUCGGAAUUACUGGGCGUAAAGCGCACGUAGGUGGCGACGUAAGUCGGGUGUGAAAGCCCCGGGCUCAACCUGGGAAUUGCAUUCGAGACUGCAUUGCUGGAGUACGGAAGAGGAGGGCGGAAUUCCCGGUGUAGCGGUGAAAUGCGUAGAUAUUGGGAGGAACACCAGUGGCGAAGGCGGCUUACUGGACCGGUUCUGACGCUGAGGCGCGAAAGCGUGGGGAGCAAACGGGA